GAUGAACGCUGGCGGCGUGCCUAAUACAUGCAAGUCGAGCGAACAGAUGAGGAGCUUGCUCCUCUGACGUUAGCGGCGGACGGGUGAGUAACACGUGGAUAACCUACCUAUAAGACUGGGAUAACUUCGGGAAACCGGAGCUAAUACCGGAUAAUAUAUUGAACCGCAUGGUUCAAUAGUGAAAGACGGUUUUGCUGUCACUUAUAGAUGGAUCCGCGCCGCAUUAGCUAGUUGGUAAGGUAACGGCUUACCAAGGCAACGAUGCGUAACCGACCUGAGAGGGUGAUCGGCCACACUGGAACUGAGACACGGUCCAGACUCCUACGGGAGGCAGCAGUAGGGAAUCGUCCGCAAUGGGCGAAAGCCUGACGGAGCAACGCCGCGUGAGUGAUGAAGGUCUUCGGAUCGUAAAACUCUGUUAUUAGGGAAGAACAAAUGUGUAAGUAACUAUGCACGUCUUGACGGUACCUAAUCAGAAAGCCACGGCUAACUACGUG
rnacentral:rRNA from 1 species